GCUCCCUGGAAGGCUCCGCCCACCGCCCUGCGGGUCAAGGGCCCGCGCGGUGGCGUCCGUCUAAGUCUCGGGUACCUCUUCAAACAAGCUGCGCCAGCUCUGCCAGGUGCUCACAUGCUCACCCUUAGAUCUCCCGGUCUCUCUCCUCCCAUUCCGGUCCCUAAACUUGCCCAGCCUGGACCCCUAUGAGCCUUUAUUACUAAAUCUGCUUGGGUCACUCCAGCCCCUCAUGCGAAGUUUUACAUCCGGUAUCCUCGAAACGUGCCCCCAAAUCUCACAGCAAUAUGGUGUAAGCAGCUGUGGGGAGUCUGGUCAGACACGAACUUCACACAUCUGUUAUUUACUAGAAGCCUCUCACCGCUGUGGCCUCUCCCGCCGCGGAGCACAGGCUCCGGACGCACAGGCCCAGCGGCCAUGGCUCACCGGCCGGCCCAGCCGCUCUGCGGCACGUGGGACCCUCCCGGACCGGGGCACGAACCCGCGACCCCUGCAUCGGCAGGCGGACCCUCAACCACUGCGCCACCAGGGAAGCCCUCUUAUGAUGUUUUGACAUCCUAAAAAUCCUGCUGGCUGGGGAGAGACUGCUACCCCCUCCCCCCAGGGCUAGCUAGUUCCUAAAGAUAGCAAACAACUUACAUGGACACACCUCUCAUAUGCAAGCCAGCCACCCCCUUUAUCUAACUGUCGCACACCGAGCCACUAUUUCCCCUGCCUGAAUUGUCUCAGGGCUAGGUACCAGGCAAUGAGAGAACACCUCUAAGGCCCAAAGCCCAGCAUUUAUUGUUCAAAUUAGCCAAUCCCAAGCUGAUUACUCUGCCCUGCCCAGUGCAAACUCCAAUAAAGGCUCUGGCCUAAAUUUGCCUCUUGCUUCUGCUUCCGCCUCCUGACCCAAACCUGAUGCUUCCACUGGGAACCUUCACA